UUAUAGGCCUCCUCAAGACCUUGCAGUAUUUCAAACUGCAAAGUUUUUCCUCAAUCCCUGACCGAUUGAGCUGCACCAGUAUGCCACAAGCUUGGGGAGCACAAUCAGCUCGGGGUUUGAGGAUUGAACCCGUGCCCAUCAACCACCUCACUCUAGCACGAAACGUGACUCACCGCAAGCGCAGACCGAAGGAAUGCAGUGUGGACUUGAACAAAAUAGUGACAAAGGUUGAACCCGAGGAGAUAGCUGCACUGAAAUUAUUACAUGGUACUCCAUUGACAUAUAUGCUGACGCCUUCAGCACCAACUGUCUCUACACCCCUGGGAGAAGUGCAAAUUGGGUCAGCUGUUUCCUAUCAGACAAGGAACUUGAAGGCAGAUGCGACAGCGGUCAUGCAACAGUGUGGCAACACCUGUGUCACAAAUAACCCACCAGUGGAUCUUCCAGAAAGAUAUAAAGCGUUGAAAGACCUUAAUAUUUGUGAAGAUCCUGUGGAACUGGAAGCUCGAACCAGAGAACAGAGUAAAUGUGCUGAGUGGUUUGAGGCAAGAAAAAAAAAGGCUUACAGCCUCAAAUUUCCAUCGAGUUAUGGUCAGGAAAGCAAAGGUCACACACAAGUUUUUAGAGUCAAUUUUUGACGCUAACUCUGUUUCAGCCCCUUCACUGGAUUACGGGCGAAGAAACGAGCCCUUAGCAAAAUCAAAAU